UACGAAGGGGGCUAGCGUUGUUCGGAAUUACUGGGCGUAAAGGGCGCGUAGGCGGCCUCGUCCGUCCGGCGUGAAAUGCCUGGGCUCAACCUAGGAAUUGCGCUCGAUACAGCGAGGCUAGAGUGUGGGAGAGGUUGGUGGAAUUCCCAGUGUAGAGGUGAAAUUCGUAGAUAUUGGGAAGAACACCAGUGGCGAAGGCGACACACUGGCUCACUACUGACGCUGAGGCGCGAAAGCGUGGGGAGCAAACAGG
rnacentral:rRNA from 1 species